UAAAUGCUUCAAUCAUGAACUAAAUUCUCAAUGAUACAUUUAAUAUAAGUCAUGAUAUUGGUAACAACCUCCGUUGACAUUUCGCACCUAGAAAUAGUUUGUGUCCAGAGCUCUAAAGGCAGCAAAAACAUGAUGAAUAUCACCCUGGUGGGAAGUACAUCAGACUACUUUCAAAAUGCCAACAAUUUCUCUAAAUAUCCAUGAGCAGAUGAAGAUUUGUGCACUCAAACCCCAUGAGCUGGAACUCCAGACAGAUGUGUGGUGGAACCGUGUCGUCCUGACAACCCCACAUCUGUCUGUCUGCGUCAAGAGUCCCUGACCCUCAAGCUAUCAAUCUGGAGUGAAAGAAGAUCUCAUCCCUGUUGUAUAAUCCAAUGGAGAGAACAGCAUGGAUAGCCGUGUAAUAAUUGCAUGAAUUACUUUAGUUUAUUUCCGCGAAGGUAGAGUGUACAUAAGGGGUCUCAAACUCGAGGCCCGGGGGCCAAUUGAGGCCCGCGGGAUGAUUAAUUGUGGCCCCCUACUUGAGGUUUAGUGUUAGUGCGGCCCGCGCAUUUUUGUCAAACGCAUUGCUUGCCACGCCUUUUUUAUCACUUGUGAUAGGGUGACCAGAUGUCCCGGUUUUGCCGGGACAGUCCCCAUUUUGAGUUGCGUGUCCUGAUUCCCGACAAAGCCAAAGGACGCUAAAAUGUCCCGGUUUCCAAAACCACUAUGAAAUGUCCCCUGUUGUCAGCGAUUACAUAGCCAACGUGAUUUAAUUAUAGCCCGAUCAUUAACUUAGAUUGGGUCAGUUGUGCUACAUCUUUUUGUGGAAUACUUGAUGUGGCCCAGCCUGACCCAGACUGUACCUCCAGCGGCCCCCAGGUAAGUUGAUUCUGAGACCCCUGGUGUACAUGAAUGAAUCCACAUGGUAUAAAAAUGCCACAUUUAGCCAAGAGGCUUUUUUUGAUCAGUAGUCCCUGGCCAAGAUGUUUAAAAAGGCUUCCUAAAGUACACCAAGGCAAAGGCAAAACAAAGUAUGCGGUUUUAUGAUUGGAAAAGGACAGUUGCUAACACUAAAAGCAGUAAUCACAGAUAUACAUAUAGAACACCAACGGAUUAAAUCUACUAGAACAACAGUGCAGGACAUACAACAAGCCGCCACAGAAAAAAUACUUAAGUAUUAAGUCCAUACUACUCAUGUUUAGCAUCACCAAUUCAAUGGGCCCGUUCUUUUUAGAACGGGCCCAUUGAGUGAGGCCGAAGGUCGGCCUCACUCCCUCUCUUUAGUCAGACACAUCCAUGCCAUAUUGUCCCUCAUAAUACUACUCUCUUUGCAGUAAAAGGUUAACCUCAAAACACCUUUGUCGCAGGAAUGCUGCUAUCAACAAAUAACGUUGUUUGGUGUGUGUAUUUUUCUAGUUGUUUGAACGAGACCCAAAUCAAAGGCUGGGUGUGGUUGAGAACGUUCAGUUGCACGGCUUCUUCAUGUCGAUAAACUGGCCUGCCCUGGAGCGGAGAGAGGUGCAUCCCCCUUCAAGCCCAAAGUGAAAGGCCCAAAUGACUGCAGCAACUUUGACGAGGAGUUCCUGAACGAGAAGCCACGCUUCUCCCACGCUGACAAGAACCUCAUCGACACCAUGGACCAGGCAGCGUUCGCUGGCUUCUCCUUCAUAAAUCCCAAACUGGAACGCAUGGUGGCGAAAUGAAGAGCCAAAAUGGCUAUGCUGAAAACAUUUGUUCUAUCCAUGCACACUACUGGUACGCCUUAUCGUUCAACU